GGGGGGGAGGGGGGUUUACAAGCAGGUGUUGGAGAAAAGGUGCGUACAUCAGGUGGCAUCCCAGUGCUGUAAGAAAACCUUCACGUCUGAGCAUUAGCAAUAGACACAAUCCAUCGUCUGGCUGUGAAAAUCUGCAGGAGCAGACUGAGGAAGAGUGUGAUGUGGGAGCCUGGGAAGGGCCACGAGGGAAAUAUAUUGUCUGAAGGACUGUGCUGUGGGCAGGUGGUGCCUACCAGUCCUGGGGAGCUCUGGAGCUCAUGGGCUGCAGUUCAUCACCCAAAGACUUUCCAGCUCUUGGUUUCUUCCAAGACUCCCUGGAAGAGGAUCCCAUUAUUACCUGCUACCAUUGUGAUGCUAUGAGAUGGCCAGCAGGAUAUUGGGAACAGAUCUGAGAAAAAAAUAACCAUUUCAUACAACAUUCAACGACCCUUAACUGCCAUCCAUGUGUCCUAAUCUCUCCUGUUUCCAAGGGUGUGUUGUUACCCAAGACAAGAGAGAGCUGUUUUUUCCUCUGCCUGUUCUGUUACUUUGUCCUCUUCUCUAAGCUGGUGGAACAGGAUAUCCCAAUUCCAAAAUGCAGAGGACUCUGCCACUAGCACUGGAGGUUCAGUCCGUAUCUGGUCUUUUUAAUUGCUUGGGAAAAUUCAACAUAGGGCUUGUGUGCCCUGAAGCCAUUUAUUCCAGACACAUGAGUUGCUGUAAUAUGUGAUUUCUCUCUUCCUUUGUGCCAGGGAUGAACUGGGUGAGUAUAUUCUCUCAGCCAUUGUGCAAGGUUGUAAAGCACCUUGUAAAUGGGUCACUUGAAGGUCUCCAAGUCAAAGGAUCUGGGUAAAAUCCAAAGGGUUGUUGAUGUGUGAGGGAGCAGAUUAGAAGUGGGAAUUGAUUCACUUUUAUUUUAUUUAGGGAGAUCUGUAGAAAGGAGAGAAGUAUGACUCUGCAGUCCCUCAGGAAAGACCUGCUGUUGGCUCCAAGAUUCGGGCUUCUGCCAUGGGACCAAGAGGUUUCAGUGCCAUCUGCCAAAGAGCAGAGGUAUCCACGCCUGCUGGCUGGGUCACCACUGGGUGAUUGUGCAUGCACAAAAUGCACAGAAAGACUGGGAGAGGGCUUGCAUGCAAAUUAGCACAGAAUUAGUGAUUUGAACGGAAGCAGGAGACUUUUUCUGAGAUUAAAAUUCGGAAGCAUUUUCAUGUGCUAUGCUGCUGCUAUGUUUGAAUUGUAAACACUGAAGAGAAGAUUUAAAAUCAGUUCCACGCCAUCUCCUUUAGACUCUCCCUUGACGUAGAUCAUUCCUGGAGGAGACUUAAAUGCAGUACUUCAGGCAAGAUAGCUGGAGCUGCAGCAAUGUCUCCAAAAGUGCUUGGAGCAAUCAGAAACGUCUGUGUUUACAGCUUAUUUGCUAGUUCUUUGCAGUGUCCCCAGACAAGAAGAGUUUGACUUCUGCAACGAUCUAUCAGGAAAGAAAUGUUUCAUGUCAGUAUGGGAGCUGCAGUCUUGGCCUGUAUUCAGGCUGCAAAUCUAGUCCUCCAGAGCUGAAAUAAGAAUAAAAAAAAAAAAAGUUUGUGCA
rnacentral:lncRNA from 1 species